CCACGACCCCAGCGCGCUUGUCCCGCCCGCCUUCCAGCGCCGCAGGCUGAGGGAUCGGCAGCGGGAUCGGGAUCGGCCCAGCGGGGCUGGCGGCUGUGAGGGGGCGCGGGGGCUGCAAGCGCUGUGGGUUUCCCUGCCCGCCUUGGCUCCUGCCGCGUUCUUGUGCUUGUUCUUCCCCGGAGCUCUCGAGGUGUUGCUCACACGCCGCCUCUGCAGGGUAGGAAGUGCCUUUGCUUCGGAGGCCAGGGAAGGAGAAACAGCAGUCUGAGACACCCAUGUCACCUUGGGGUAGAAGUCAUUCUGGAUGAAUCUGUGUGAAUAAAGAAACCGAGGAAUAGAGUGGUAACCUCGCAGAUUACCCAUCUGGGUGACCUACAGAAACAAGAAUAAAGUCCAUUUUUUUUGAGAUCUAAUCCAGUGCUUUGCAACAUAAACUAUUUUAACUCUUGCAAACAUUAUGGAAAUGAUUGCUAGGAUCCCAAAUUGUGGAGACUGAGGAGCUUACACUGAUGAAAUAGUAGGCAACCUGACAGUCAGGUUGUAGAUCUUAAGAAGAAUAUUCUUCCCAAGAACAUGGGUGGCAGUCAGAUCAAAGGCCUAAAGAUCCACUAUAAAGUAGUAUUUUAUUAUUAAAACGAGUAUUUCUCAUUUUUAGGCAUAUUUGUUAUUCAUUAAGUUAGGUUGUAGUCUUUCCAAAAACCUUUAUGAUAGCCUGUGUCUGACUCUUGUUAUGUAGAAUGCAUUAUGACUUCACACAUUUUUAAGUUUUCUGUGAAGUUUUGUAAGAAUAUAUUAUAAAAUAGGCCACUUUAAUCUUCUUGGUCAUUUCUCCUGGACCUUGUGCAAUUGUACCUCACAAAGAGUUGUCACCUCCAAAUUCAUUUUCCAUAAUUCACAGAGGCCUGAAUAUGCAAUUAUCUCAAAAGGGAAAAGAUUCAUUUACUCUUCUGCAGAACAUAAACUCUCCUGAAAAUAACCACCAAUUGAAGGCACUUGUAUACAGGCUCCUUUUAUAGUAAACCACUGGGUGCCUCAGCUCCAGAAGCAGCAAGAAAGAUAACAACUCAAUUAACAAAAACUGCUGCUUUGAGAAAUGUGGUUUCCAUCUCAAAGUUAUUUUAUUCAUUCCUAAUUUUACAUUGCUGAAAACUGUUAACCAUUAUUAGAGGCAAAUAAGUCUGAGAUUUGGGGGUUUGGCUGGUUUUGCUUGCUGUAAGCUUCACAGGUAUACACCUCCACCUCCAUAAUGAUCUUUUCUUUUUCUAAUCCUAGAUGGUGUAUAUUUUGUUUGUACCCAACUUUCCCUUCUAUUUGUAAAAUAAUGUGUGAAAUGUUCAAAGCAUUAGUGAUUUAGGAGCAGUGAAGAUAUUAAUUCCUCAGAAACACGUCAUUGUUACAUACAGUUGUGUUUGUUGUGCUGAGCAGGCCCAGCUGCGUUACAGAGGGAGUUAUAAAUAAGGCAAAAUAACUGUAUUAGAGCAGCUUGGCCAAAAGCUUGUCCCUGUAUUUCUACAUGGAAAAUAAAGGAUAGAUGUAUGUACUGUCUGAAUAGAGAACAUGAUGUGCCAAAAUAAAUCCAAUAGUAUUUUAUUGGAAAAGUAAACUUAAUUUUGGAUUUUUAAAAAAUGGAACAUGCCAUGUAUAAAAUACAUAUUUGAUCAAGAUCAUUUCCUCUGGUAAUGUUCCUUCUGAGGUGAGAGUUUUAAUGACAAGGAAAAGAUACUUCUACAUCUAUGGAAUUUAAAGCCUGCUGCUGUCAAGUGGCCAGGACCCUUAAAUGUGUGUUGAAGUGUCCUACUCUUAGUAAAUUAAAAAUGUUUAUACUUUCUGUCUCAAGUAGUAGAAAGAACACCAGCAACUGCUUCCAUGUUUAAAAUUCUGUGGAGUCUGCUACCUGUGAGCAGACUCCACUUAAAUAAAGUCUCUGGAAUUACUAAUUGCUAACCUCAUUCUUGACAUUCUUCAGCCUCCAACAGCCUGCUGCAACUUCUGUUACACCUUCUGGGAUUCUAUCUAUAGCAAUUGCUUUCUCUCCCCAGUUGGCUCCAAGCCAGAAAUAUAUCCAUUUGCACAAAUGCUUUUUAACCUUGUUCACACUGGGAUGGGGGGAGAAGAGGGGAGUCAUAUUUUUUCUUUCUGCUUGUCUAGUUUGUGGAUACUUUUAUAGUAAAUUCAGUACUUGCCAUGUUCACUCUGUAAUGGCCAAGUGGUUACAAUGCCUUUUCCAAACUACUGUUUGUUUCACUUUAAGUGCACUGAAUAAAACUAUUUCUCCG